AUUGAACGCUGGCGGCAUGCUUUACACAUGCAAGUCGAACGGUAACAGGUCUUCGGAUGCUGACGAGUGGCGAACGGGUGAGUAAUACAUCGGAACGUGCCUAGUAGUGGGGGAUAACGAGGCGAAAGAGUAGCUAAUACCGCAUGGGAUCUACGGAUGAAAGCAGGGGACCUUCGGGGCUUGUGCUACUAGAGCGGCUGAUGGCAGAUUAGGUAGUUGGUGGGGUAAAGGCUUACCAAGCCUGCGAUCUGUAGCUGGUCUGAGAGGACGACCGGCCCAACUGGGACUGAGACACGGCCAAGACUCCUACGGGAGGCAGCAGUGGGGAAUUUUGGAACAUGGGCGAAAGCCUGAUCCAGCAAUGCCGCGUGCAGGAUCGCGGCCCUCGGGUUCUCCACUGCUUUUGUACGGAACGAAAAGCCUGGGGCUAAUAUCCCCGGGUCAUGACGGUACCGUAAGAAUAAGCACCGGCUAACUACGUUCCAGCCGCCGCGGUAA
rnacentral:rRNA from 1 species